rnacentral:rRNA from 1 species
ACGGAGGAUCCAAGCGUUAUCCGGAAUUACUGGGCGUAAAGAGUUGCGUAGGUGGCAAAGUAAGUUGGUAGUGAAAGCGUGGGGCUCAACCUCAUAUCCAUUACCAAAACUGCUUAGCUAGAGGAUGAGAGAGGUCGCUGGAAUUCCUAGUGUAGGAGUGAAAUCCGUAGAUAUUAGGAGGAACACCGAUGGCGUAGGCAGGCGACUGGCUCAUUCCUGACACUAAGGCACGAAAGCGUGGGGAGCAAACGGGA